CAGUUGCCAUUUGAACAGUCAGAUUACAGACCUGGAUACAGGUCAGCCGAUAUCUUGUGUUCUAAGGCAAGUCGUUACGUAACCUUACCAUAUCUAUUGUGUUGGGUCGGUAACGCUAAGACUUGAUCGUACGUAAGCCGACGCCUCAGAUUUAGACCUGACAGCCAAGCCACCUGACGUGACAGAUGUACGAAUGAACGUACGGAGCGUAGGUUAGCUGCCCAAGUCUAGCUGUAGCUGUCUAGCGUGUAGUGUACACAGCAGUCGGCUUCAUUUAUUCGGCUACAUGACAGGGUGCAUUCAAUCAGUCAUGCUGCGCGAGUAAUUUGUUAGGAACGAUCAAUGGGGGCGUACUUUGUUAGUUACUACAGCCAGGCGAAAAAAAGGAUGAAUUUGCAAGGCGAUUAUCAUGUGUAAUACCAGCGUUUUUUUCCUCGCGACGAUGUUAAAAAACGACCACUGAAGUGUUAUAUGACUCUCUAUAGGGCGAAUUUGGCCCGCCGUCGCGCCUCCCCGCGGCCAUGGCGGCCGCCGGAAUUGGGGUUAUCCCUCGGGGGGGCACCACUCUAUAGAGAGCGCCACUAAGAAAGUGGAGGAAGGAGGGGGCAUAUGUAGGUCAUUAUGCCCCGAAUCCCCCGGGCCACAAAGAAUUACAAAAGAUAGGACAAUGGGCUCCGACACCGAAAGGAUAAGGCAAUCCCGAAACCUUUUUAUAGUUUGGAGUGAGGGGCGUAACCCCCCCUUAAGGAAGCUGGAUUCCGUAGUAAUCGCGGGUCAACAUCCCGCGGUGAAUAUGCCCCUGCUCCUUGCACACACCGCCCGUCAAACCAUCCGAGUUGGGUCUAAGUGAGGGCUUCUCUCAUUGGGGAGUUCGAACUUGGGUUCGGCAAGGAGGGUUAAGUCGUAACAAGGUAGCCGU
rnacentral:rRNA from 1 species